AACAGAGCUGAAUUGUUUUCAUAUUCAAAAAAAAUUCUGGUGAUACAACACAACUGUUAAUUUAUAAAAUUCCGAAACGAUAUAAUUCGCUCCAGCUCUACAAAUUAUUUAUUUGGCCGAAAAUGGCGCCGCCACCUGUUUAUACUGAUUUAGGCAAAUUAGCCCGCGACUUAUUCAGGCGAGGCUACCAUCCAGGUCUAUGGCAGUUAGACUGCAAGACCAUGACCAGCUCAGGCAUCGAGUUUUUUACGACUGGCUUCGCCAGUCAAGAUGCCAGCAAAGUGAUGGGCUCCCUGCAGAGCAAAUAUAAUAUAGAGGAUUAUGGCUUAACGCUUACGGAACGCUGGAACACGGACAAUCUGCUGUAUGGCGAGAUUGCGCAAAAGGAUAAGUUAGCCGAGGGACUAUUGCUGGCAUUGGAGGGACGUUUUCAGCCCUCAUCGGGCGACAAGGAAGGCAGAUUUAUGGCUCGUUAUGCCCAGGAGAGCUAUAACGUUUUGGGCAAAAUAGAUAUUAAGUCUGACCCAUUAGUGGGUCUGUCGCUAGUGCUAGGUCAUAAAGAGUUUUUGGGCGGAGUUGCCGUUGACUGCGAUAUAAACGGCGGCAAUGUAUCCUGGAAGGUUGCGCUUGGCUGGACCAAUGAAUCGACAACGCUGCACGCAGAACUAAUAAAUGCUGAGGGCUGGCUACUCUCGCUAUUCCACAAGGCCAACGAACAAAUAGAUGCCGCUGUUGAGAUUGGCAAAGCAGCUGCAGAAGCAGCAACCGAGGAAGGCCAGGAACCGACAGAGAGUGAAUUGAACAUAGGUGUGGGAAUGAUCUAUCAUUUGGCAGGUGAUGCCCUGAUACGUGCCAAAAUUAACAACAAUGCCGAACUGGGCCUGGGAUACCAGCAGAAGCUACGCGAAGGCAUCACCAUGUCAAUAUCAACAGUUCUUGAUUGCAAAAAUAUCACCGAAGGAAAUCACAAGUUUGGCGUUGGCCUUUCCUUGGAGUGUUAACAGUUGUCCCUAUCGCCACUAUUUUAUUUCUGUUACCAAUUUACAGUUUUAAAUUAAUGUCCUGUUUUAGUAUCUGCGGCAAUUAAAUCAAGACAAAGAUACUUUAAAAUUCUGCAAAACGCACGACUUCUGGAAUCAGUCGGAUUGCAUUAUUUUCAGUUAUGUAUUUACCGAAAACAUUGCAAAAUUCCGGUUUCCCUGGGAUUUGGGAUGAUUUGGCCCGCUUUUUGCACCCAAACACAAUUUAAAUCACCCGUUAAAUAAAGAACCCGUUAAUGAAUGAAGCCAAUCGGAGGCAGGUGAAACCCGUAUUAAAUUAUUUUUCAUAAAGAAAUGAUUUUGAACGCCAGACUUCG